CGCUUCUAAUAGUCCAUUGACUUGGACAAUCAAUAUUUAUGAUCUGAUCUCAAAUCAGGUAGGACUACCCGCUGAACUUAA
rnacentral:rRNA from 1 species